rnacentral:tRNA from 1 species
UUCCGUUUCGUCUAAUGGCAGGACACCUGUUUCUGACGCAGGCAAUGAAAGUUCGACUCUUUCAACGGGAACCA